rnacentral:tRNA from 1 species
UGGGAGGUAGCCAAGUGGUAAGGCAACGGACUUUGACUCCGUCAUGCGUAGGUUCGAACCCUACUCUCCCAG